GGUUGUUUACCUGGGGGGGUGGUUUGUUUUCUUUUUCCUGUGCUAAGAGCAAAAGCCCAGUAAAGCCCUUUAAAAUUCAUUCCAUCCUGUGGAAGUAGGAAUGUCUUUCGCCGGGAACUUGGGCACCUCAAGCGGCACCAAGGUGAAGUUUUCAAGGACUGUGGGAGAAGCUCUCUCCACACCCUGACAAUGGGACAGCCACCUGCAUACCUCAGAGGGUCACAACAGCCUUUGGCAUGCCCUGUACUAACAGUGUAAAGGUGGAAGACGAGAUCAUGCCACAAUCCAGAUGCCAGAUACUGUCUGUCUGUGAGGGGUUUAGAGCCCUUGUUCUUCUUCGUGGUGUCAAGACAAACACUGCAGUGACUCAUUUUGUACACCUCGUGCAUGAGAAAUAUUCCAGUUAAGUGUAUUGUCAAAAUAUAGGUGUAGGAAAUAAUUCAUGUGUAAAGAUGUGCAUUAGUAACUUCAACUUAGGGUUGCAAAGGUUCAUGUUUUAGCAUGAAGGCUAUCCAUGGAGCAUCAGCAGAGGAAUGUGAAGGUGUCCUUCAGCCCCAAGGCUCUUCAUUUCAGUGAAGUGACUGAAUCUGGCCCUGGAUCCAAACAUUGAGUGGAAAAGCGGGAAGCAGUAUGAUCUACAGGAUGUGAAGCACCACUGGGAAAAUCCUCUGCUACCACUCUCAUACCUGGAAAUGGCUUGUUUCCAUGUGGAUGUUGCCUGUUUCCUAGACAAGUUAGGUAGGUUUGUGAUUCUAUAAGCUGCUGAAGGUAAACUAGGUUGGGAUGCCUGUUUGUCUGCCUUUCCAGCUGUUCCUUCAUCUUCUUUUUGGCUGCUGACCCUUGUUUCUCCUUCACACGCCUGGAAAUGAAGCAAGGCAAGAGGUCUGGGUGGCUCUGCUCCCUUGAGGAGCAGCGGGAGGAGUGGCAGUGGGAGAGGAGCGUUGCUGUAGCAAGGGGUGGGCACAGGUACCACAAGUUGAAAGCAGGAAGGCUGCAUGGCUGUGGCCGAGUCAGCCUCUCCCCGUGGCGUGGCACUGCAGGGCCACUGAUUUCCUUCCCGGCCGUGUGCACAAAAGGGGAGAGGCUCAGCCUGAGAGCAGCUGCAGCAGCACUGGGCACAGUCAGUUGCACACUGCAUAAUGGAAGAGGUCUGAUGCAGGCUGUGAAGGACUGAACUUGGCCUGUCUGCUCCUGUAAGUAAGCCUGCCCACCAGGUGGCAAGAACCUUGCCAUAGGAAUAGCAUAAACCAGCCUUUCACAGCAGCAAAAAAAAGACAUCACCUCUGUCUGUCCCGAAGUUAAACCCAUCACAGGAAAACUGUCCCAACUGUCUGCAUCUGGCUUCUUUUAGUGACAAGCUUCAUUAGAGGAGUGUCUGUCUCAUGCACAGCAUUUUAUGCACCAUUGUUUAUACAGGAAGGGCCUGUGCACUUCAGGGAUACUAUGAAGAGAAAUACUAAUCUAUGGUCAUUGAGUAUUUUGUAUUGAAUAGUGUCUUUGUAUUGUAAACAAGUGUAGUGAACCAUGAGGCAUGAAGACAAAUAAAAUGGCUGUAGCUGGC